rnacentral:sRNA from 2 species
UAUCUCUCCGUACGGGGAAGGAUGAGAAGCUUCGACCAAGGUUCGAUUCGAGCGUCAGCGAGAAAGCGUUGCCGCAGGCAACGA